GAUGAACGCUGGCGGCGUGCCUAAUACAUGCAAGUCGAGCGAACGGACGAGAAGCUUGCUUCUCUGAUGUUAGCGGCGGACGGGUGAGUAACACGUGGAUAACCUACCUAUAAGACUGGGAUAACUUCGGGAAACCGGAGCUAAUACCGGAUAAUAUUUUGAACCGCAUGGUUCAAAAGUGAAAGACGGUCUUGCUGUCACUUAUCGAUGGAUCCGCGCUGCAUUAGCUAGUUGGUAAGGUAACGGCUUACCAAGGCAACGAUGCAUAGCCGACCUGAGAGGGUGAUCGGCCACACUGGAACUGAGACACGGUCCAGACUCCUACGGGAGGCAGCAGUAGGGAAUCUUCCGCAAUGGGCGAAAGCCUGACGGAGCAACGCCGCGUGAGUGAUGAAGGUCUUCGGAUCGUAAAACUCUGUUAUUAGGGAAGAACAUAUGUGUAAGUAACUGUGAACAUCUUGACGGUACCUAAUCAGAAAGCCACGGCUAACUACGUG
rnacentral:rRNA from 1 species